rnacentral:tRNA from 1 species
GGGCCCAUAGCUCAGUUGGUUAGAGCAGGGGACUCAUAAUCCCUUGGUCGCAGGUUCGAGUCCUGCUGGGCCCACAA